AUUCUUCCCCCCCCCCUCCCUUUUUUUUUCCCAAAAUCGAUUCCCCCAUCCCCAGAAAUCUCUUUUCUUUUUUCCCCAUUUUAUUUUUCCGAAACCACUUCUCCCCUACCCCGAUUCCCUUUAUUUUCCCCCCAAUUUCCCCAAAUCGGCAGCCCUCUGGAUCUCCUCAAAGGGUUGUAGCAGAAGGAGGUCUCGAACUAGCAGGUCAAGUGGUACAGAUUCAUGGAGUCCUUACGGAUACUCCACGCCACCACAAUCUGCAUAUCCUCAACAAAUUACGGAAUCCCUGUCGGAUCGUGUCGGGUACUGCAUCCCAAAUUGCUGAGUUCGGGAAACGAAGGAUAUAUCAUUCAUCUCAACCUUAUUGUAUAAAUUAACUAUGAGUAGGUUUGCUAGUAGUCUUGCCGCUUCACUUUCAGUAUCUUGUUCAUGUACAAGUAUCAAUUUAGGGUUUGGAGGUGAAAUUUUUAGAUGACCUGAUUAUUUUGGUUUUCUUCUACUUAGCUAUGUUUUGUGUGACUUUGGAUAGCAAUUUGUCUUUUAAGUAGUGCUUUUUGUGCUCUUAUUCAGCUUUCAUAGUAAUAAUUGCUCCUCCGUGUACGGUCUGUUCUGAUGGUUUUGUUCUUGAGAGUACUUUCACUGCUCUGUUUUCCCUGAUAUCUUACCAUGACCCAUGAUUCUAUUCAAUUCUCUCUUUGUCUAGAAAAAGAGAAAAAAAAGUACAAUAUCCCUUGGAAAUUGAAGUCAACAAGGUAAAAUAUCCUCUAUUCUAUUUUUAUUCUUGCUUUUCUUAAGGUGCUUUACCACAGCUUAAUUUCUUUCUGCGGUUCUACUUAUUUGGCAUGCUUCUUAUACUGUAUUCACAAAUAUUGUUAUCUGUAGGCAAUACAGGGAGUACAUGGAGAAUUUGCUGGAGUAUCUUAUUUACUUCUUUCAGAGGACUGAACCACUGCAAGAUCUUGACGGAAUCUUUUCCAAGCUAUACUCAGGUCUUAGUUCUCGACCUGGGAUGAUUAAUCACCUCCCUGAUGGCUUUUCUUGGACACUUCUUAAAUGUAUUCAUGAAGAUCCGUUAUCUUCAACAUUACGGGUCAGAUUUUGCACGCCUUAAUUUUUUUGGAUUUUAUUCUCUUGUCUUGGAGAAGGAUGACGUGCUGAUAUCUGUAGCAUCUAUCAGUACAGUUGAAGAGCUUAUGGAAGUGGGUCCAGAAAAGUUAAAGGAGGUAAUUUUGGUUCGCUUUGAUUAUGUUCAUCAUUGCUAGACAUUUUUUUGUUGUAGUGACUCCAACCUCUUCAGUUCAGUGCUUAGAAAUGUGUGUUUUCCAUUUCUUUUAGGCAAAUGCAUGACCAAGUUGUAUUAAAGAGUGAAAAAUGAAGAAACAUGUUGCUAUUGUAUCAUCUGAUGUUGUCACUGUAAACAUCUUAUCUUGCUGGUUACUUUCAAAGUAAUUAGUUAUUUUGAGAAUGAAAAAUAUUAUGUGGUUCUGGCUAUAAAUUCUUAUGCUGUGAUUGUGUUCAUUUAUGCUAUGUUUGGAAACAUAAAUUUGAAAAUUUAGAUUUGGAAUUCAUUUGUAACCUCAGAGUACUCUUCUGUUUUAAUUGCUGUAAUGUGGGUUUUAAGAUCCAUUGCAAUUACAUGUCAAGCUUUUCACUUUGCCAGAACCCCAAAGGCAUUAUUGUUUGAGAUUUUUGAGGGAAUUAUUUGAUAUGUACUUGAAAUAUUUUGCUAACAGCCUAAAAGUUAAAAAUGAAUUAUUUGCUAACAUUUUGCAAAAGGCUCAUACGGACCUCGACAAAAUGGGUCUACUGCAGUUUCACAAGACAUUAAGAGGCGUUUGGUUCAGUGUAUUACCUAAUACAAUACAGGCCGAAUACGCGCGUAUUACAUGACGCCUCUAAUCCGGCGUUUGGUUCGCUGUAAUAGGCAUUACGGGCGUAAACCAAUCCCGACCUAAUCCCCUUUUUCGCUGCUUUUGUAAUCCCUUCCCAAAUCCCUGUAAUACCUAUUACGUCCGCCUUCCGUCCCCUGCUCUCUGUUUUACCCUCCCUCCCUACCCGACCCUCUCCUAUUCUGUCCUCAAAAUUUCUCCUUCCAUCUCCCACCGUUUUUGUUUAUUAUUCUGUCCUCAUCGUUUCUUCAGUCUCUGUCUCCUCCCAUUUCCUCCCAACCCUAUCUGCAACUCUCUACUGUUCUUCAAUAUUUUCACAAAAUUGGAAAUACCUGAUAGCUGAAUCCAUUGAAAAAAGAGUGAAGCGUUUUUCGGGUCAUCACCUCUAAUCCAAGAUCGGUAAGAGAGAGGUUAAUAAGAAAGUUCUCAAAGUUCCUGGAAUAGAGCAGAAGGUAACAUUUUUCCAACACUUCCACAUCGCAGUCGUCCCAGAUUUGAGCAUUACAGGUUAGUAUUGAUGUAGCAGGUUCUGUUGUUUCCCAAAUGAAUAUGGUUUUGUUUGUAUGUUUGUAAUGCUCAUUAAAGCUUUUGUUUGUAUGGUUAUGGUUAUUGUUGCAUGACCAUUGUUCUUUUUGAAUUUAUCAGCCAAGUUAUAUGUUUUUACUAUUAGGUAACAUUUUUUUUAAAGAGCAUUAUGCCUACAAAUAAUGGGCUUCAAAUCACAA